rnacentral:rRNA from 1 species
CCCCCGGCUAACUUCGUGCCAGCAGCCCGCGGUAAUACGAAGGGGGGCUAGCGUUGCUCGGAAUGACUGGGCGUAAAGGGCGCGUAGGCGGAUUGUACAGUCAGAUGUGAAUUCCUGGCUUAACCUGGGGGCUGCAUUUGAUACGUGCGAUCUUGAGUUUCGGGAAGAGGGUUCGGGGGAAUUCCCCGGGUUAGGGGGGUGAAAUUGGUAAAUAUGGGGAAGAACACCGGUGGCGAAGGCGGGGAGCACCUGGUCCUGGACUGACGCUGAGGCGCGAAAGCGUGGGGAGCAAACAGGAUUAGAUACCCUGGUAGUCCACGCUGUAAACGAUGUGUGCUGGAUGUUGGGUGACCUAGUCACUCAGUGUCGUAGCUAACGCGAUAAGCACACCGCCUGGGGAGUACGGCCGGCAAGGUUGAAACUGAGCCAGGAUCAAACUCU